GGUUUGUAGAAUGAAUAAUUAUAAAUCUAUUCUGCCCACUGAUGGAUAUUUAAUGGCUGCGGUAUAUUAACCGUACAAAGGUAGCAAAAUCAAUUGUUUUUUAAAUGAAAACUAGAAUGAAAGAAUUGAUGAGAUAAAAAUUGUUUCAAUAUUAAAAAUUGAAUUUAAAUUUUAAGUUAAAAUGCUUAAGUAUAUUUAAAAGACGAAAAGACCCUAUAGAAUUUUAUAAAAUUUAAAUUAUAUAAAUAUUAUAUGUAAAUAUAAUUUAUUUAAUUUAAUUAUAUUUAGUUGGGAGGAUUAUAAAAUUUAAUAAACUUUUAUUAAUUUUAAAACAUUGAUAAAUGAGUAGUUGAUUAUUAUUAUAAUUGUAAGAAAAAAUUACCUUAGGGAUAACAGCGUAAUAUUUUUGGAGAGAUCGAAUUGAUAAAAAUGUUUGCGACCUCGAUGUUGAAUUAUGAUAUAAUUUAGGUGUAGUAGUUUAAAUUGUUAGUCUGUUCGACUAUUAAAAUCAUACA
rnacentral:rRNA from 1 species